GGGUAACAGGUCACAGGAAAGCAAGUGUUGGUGCCAGGGCCUCCGGUGGAUUCCAGACUGCCUCUUCAGAGACAGGUCAUGGACACGGUGCGUAUUGCGGUCGUCGGAGCUGGCGUGAUAGGGCUGUCUACUGCCGCCUGCGUCUCCCAGCUGGUCCCCCGAUGUUCCGUUACUGUCAUCUCAGACAGGUUCACACCUGACACCACCAGUAAUGUAGCAGCUGGGAUGCUCAUUCCUCCCACGUAUCCAGAUACGCCCGUGCCCACGCUGAAGCGAUGGUUUAGAGAGACCUUCCAGCAUCUUUCUGAAAUCGCCAGGUCUGCAGAGGCUGUGGAUGCCGGCAUUCACCUGGUGUCUGGGUAAGGAGAGGAAUCUGAAG
rnacentral:lncRNA from 1 species